AUAUGCUGAGUGCCCACUGUACACCAGGCACGCUUAAAGGACCUGGACACCCAGGAGUGGGCAGAGCAGACAUAACUGGCCCACCUCACACACGUUCUGGUAGGAAAGAUGGACAACACACAAGGAAACCAGUGGGGAUCCCUGCCCCAAACUGCACGAUGGCUCCUGGCUAAGAACAGCCCCAGGCCACAGAGGAAGGGGGCUCCAAGACACGCUUCCCGAAUGAGCAGGAAGGACCUGUGCGCAGGGGAUCUGACAAGGACACAUCUGUCGCAGCGAGCUGGGGUGAUCAGCAAGUGACAGUUGGAACCGGAUUUACAGGCCUCACCUUAUAAAGGAAAAUGUGGGUCCUGUCCACCCUAUAAAAGAUCCCAUUCUUACUGGUUAUAUAAAUUCACAAAUUGAUUGUAUUUAAAAACUU